UAGUCGUAACAAGGUAGCCGUAGGGGAACCUGCGGUUGGAUCACCUCCUUACCUUAAAGAACCUGCCUUUGUAGUGCUCACACAGAUUGUCUGAUGAAAAACAGCAGUAAAAAUCUCUGCAGGCUUGUAGCUCAGGUGGUUAGAGCGCACCCCUGAUAAGGGUGAGGUCGGUGGUUCAAGUCCACUCAGGCCUACCAAAUUUUUGCUGAUGCUGCGUUGCGGCGACACUCACAUACUUCAGUAUGCUUCGUGUCACCACGCCUUGCCUCAACAAAAAUUACCGGUACAGAGGUUGGCAAAACGAUGGGGCUAUAGCUCAGCUGGGAGAGCGCCUGCUUUGCACGCAGGAGGUCUGCGGUUCGAUCCCGCAUAGCUCCACCAUCUUUUACUGCGAACACAAGAAAACUUCAGAGUGAACCUGAAAAGGUGCACUGCGAAGUUUUGCUCUUUAAAAAUCUGGAUCAAGCUGAAAAUUGAAACGACACAUCUUUAAUGGUGUGUUCGAGUCUCUCAAAUUUUCGCAAUCAUGAAGUGAAACAUCUUCGGGUUGUGAGGUUAAGCGACUAAGCGUACACGGUGGAUGCCUUGGCACA
rnacentral:misc_RNA from 1 species